ensembl:lncRNA
GGGACGUCAGGCGGCGUCCCAGAAAACUGCCCCAGGGCAUGGCAGGGAGCCUCAGGCGGACGGCCUGGGGGGCAAGCAGAGGCAGAGUGAAGGCGGAACCCUUCAGGAGGCCGGCGGCAAGGACGAUGAGGGCUCAGUCCCUCAGGAGACCUGCAGUGGCACAGAACCCCCUCAGAAGGCCGGCAGCGGUGAAGGCGGAACCCUUCAGGAGGCCGGCGAAGGCGAGGUAGAGGGCGGGUCCCCUCAAGAGGAAGGCCAGGUAGAGGGCGGGUCCCCUCAGGAGGAAGGCCAGGUAGAGGGCGGGUCCCCUCAGGAGGCAGGCCAGGUAGAGGGCGGGUCCCCUCUGGUGGAAGGCCAGGCAGAGGGCGGGUCCCCUCUGGUGGAAGGCCAGGUAGAGGGCGGGUCUCCUCAGGAGGAGGGCCAGGCAGAGGGCGGGUCCCCUCUGGUGGAAGGCCAGGUAGAGGGCGGGUCCCCUCUGGUGGAAGGCCAGGCAGAGGGCGGGUCCCCUCUGGUGGAAGGCCAGGCAGAGGGCGGGUCCCCUCUGGUGGAAGGCCAGGUAGAGGGCGUGCCUCCCCUGGACGGUCUGGAGGGCGGACCCCCUCUGGUGGACAGGGUAGAGGGCGGGUCCCCUCUGGUGGAAGGCCAGGCAGAGGGCGGGUCCCCUCUGGUGGAAGGCCAGCUAGAGGGCGUGCCUCCCCUGGACGGUCUGGAGGGCGGACCCCCUCCGGUGGAAGCAGAGGCCGGUACCCCUCUGGAAGGAGCAGGGGGCGGGCCCCCUCAGGCAGGAGCGGAGGACGGACCACCUCAAGCAGGUGACGAGGCCGGUACCACUCUGGAAGGCGAGGAGUGGGCUCAGGAACCGGACAGGGCUCGGGGACCGGAGUCAGUGCGGGAGCUGGAGUACCAGGAGGAAGCGGGUGGUUCCCCAAACCCUCCCAGCGCUCCAUUGUCUUAUUUAUUCUGGCUAGUAAAUCCUCCAAACUACGGUCAAAUUGAGCGUCCGCUGGGUCCCAUCGUGGUGCUGUCAUUCUGUUAAAGGGAAGCUGGAGGUGCAGGCAGGCAGGUAGGACCCAAACGCAGACGGUAUUGAGGAAAACGGCACUUUAAUCACACCUAAAGGCUAAGGCACAGGAAUCAGGGAACUCGGGAGACAACAGGGAACUCUAGAGGGAACAAGGAACACGGAACACGCAGGACUAACAACCAACACUAACCACAGCAAACCACAAUGACAGCACAACGAACAAAGGAAAGACGAGGGCUUAAAUAACAAACACAACGAGGAACAGCUGAGACACAUUAGGGGAGGGAACAGCAAUCAACACAGGAAGGAAACACAGGGAGACACCCACACCCUG